CUGCGGCAGAUAUAACUUCGCACAAGACGGCCAUGUUGGAAAUUUGAAGCGUUUCAUGUUGUUUCGUUUGGAUUUUGAACUUGUUUCCUGUUUUUUUAUUUGUAUUCAGUAUUGAAUUUCGAACGAUAUAGAUUCUGUUGAAGGAUUCAAGACAAAUAUUAUUGAAAGAUUGAGCUGAUUGUCUGCCAAAAUAGUGUUUGAAAUUACUGAAGUCGUAGCCCGCAGGUAAAAAUGAAAAAUAUUGAAAACUAGAUCCUUGCUUGGAUAAAUAUUACGAUGUAUUUUUUAGCUUGAUUAUAUUUCCUAUUUAGAAAAAGAAUGCCUAAGAAAACAGCAGUGUCUGAAAAGACUGCGGAAACUCCACAGCUUUCCAAAGAAAGCAAUAUUGAGAAG